CAGCCAGGUUCUGUCACACCCUACCAGGUGUGAAAUUGUCACAAUUCAUGAAUGAAAGGGGAUGAGCCAACUAUCGGACCAUCCUUCUCCGCUGAAAGCGGCCGCAGCCAGACGAGCCAAUGAGCAGGUUACAACACCGUCCCGUAACACAAAGCUCCAGAUCGCCGAUUCCUCCGAGCAAGAGACAGUUAUAUAAGCCUUGCGUAAUGCAACAGAUGCGCCAGAAAGAUAUCUUGGUGCAACUUGUGCUGUGUGGGUGAACAAAUAAAGAGGACUUAUCUACAGAGAAA